UAUUAUGAUUACUAUUAUUCAGGUCACUGCCUGGAAUGAAACUCGGAACCUUGGGGUCAGAAGACCAUGCUCUUAACCACUACGCCAUAUACUCGUGGGCAUAUAGCUGGAUGCUGGAGGGUAUAUCAGCC